CCUACGGGUGGCAGCAGUGGGGAAUAUUCGACAAUGGGGGGAACCCUGAUCGAGCGACGCCGCGUGAGCGAAGAAGUAUUUCGGUAUGUAAAGCUCUAUCAGCAGGGAAGAAAGAAAUGACGGUACCUGACUAAGAAGCCCCGGCUAACUACGUGCCAGCAGCCGCGGUAAUACGUAGGGGGCAAGCGUUAUCCGGAUUUACUGGGUGGAAAGGGAGCGUAGACGGCGAUGCAAGUCUGAAGUGAAAGGCGGGAGCUCAACCCCCGGACUGCUCUGGAAACUGUACGGCAGGAGUGCAGGGGGGGUAAGUGGAAUUCAUGGUGUGGCGGUAAAAUGCGU
rnacentral:rRNA from 1 species